UAAGAUUGCAGAGGGGCCUUCCUCGGACCCUGCGCAUAGCAGGAGCUUUAGUGCACUAGGCUGCCCUUUGCAUAUGUUCAAUAUUCCAGACCCCAUUGUUUAUAACAGAAGCAGCUUUAAAAUUCAUUGGUUUGGUCUUGGAGUUGAAUAAUAUGAGGCAUUACUCCCAUGUUUGUCCAGUGAAUUUAUCAUCAAGUGAGACGACUAGUAUGUUUGGCCACAAUACAUGUGAAUUGUAAUCAUUUCUUUUCAUAAGUUAAUAAGAUAUACUGUAUAAGAAAAAUACAUCAAAUGAGCUAAUUAUCUUGAUCAGAAAUCAGAAUCCCUAACAACAGAAAGCCCAGCGGCAAAAGGUUCCAACUUAGCUACUAAUACAUAAACGUACAUAUUCCUACUUAUUUAGACAACAGUAACUUCGACCAAAAUCCAUUAUUGUGUCUGUUCUAAAUUGUCUUUACCCAAAAAACCUCCAAUGAAUUUAUUCUGCUGGAGCAUAGUCAUAAUCUCCAUCAUCAUCACCAUCUCUUUCUAAGCAUGCAGUAGGAGCAUAAUCAUAAUCACCAUCGUCAUCUCCAUAUGAACACGUCCUUCUCUUCUCGAACCCAAUAAUCUUGAAAAUUCCAGACAUUCUAACUAGAUAUAUAGUGGAUAUAUUGUAUGAUCUCUUUGGUAAGGUAUAAAGAUUAAUGGUAAUUGUGUUGUGUAUGAUCAAUAGGUGAAGAAACCAUAUGGUUAUAUAUACGAAAGAGAAAACGUGUGAACUCUUCUGGACACGUUACAAAUUGUGUAAUGUUACAAGAGGAAUGUGCAAGACAUAAGUUUGGAUCCAAAAUUGACUUUAUACCAUGUCAUUGUAUUUGUAUGUGAUGAGUGUUAAAAGGUUACAUAUUCUAUAUCAUUGUGGGAAUAAAAUCCCUCUAUUUUUCAAUUUGUAUCUCUCUCGAACUUUUUGGUGUUUAUUGAACAAGCCAAAAC
rnacentral:lncRNA from 1 species